rnacentral:rRNA from 1 species
ACGGAGGUCCCAAGCGUUGUUCGGAAUUACUGGGCGUAAAGGGAGCGCAGGCGGACAGGUCAGUCUGAAGUGGAAAUCCGAGGCUCAACCUCGGACUUGCUUCGGAUACUUCCUGUCUUGAGUUCGUGAGAGGAAGAUGGAAUUCAGGGUGUAGCGGUGAAAUGCUCAGAUAUCCUGAGGAACACCGGUGGCGAAAGCGGUCUUCUGGCGCGAAACUGACGCUGAGGCUCGAAAGCGUGGGGAGCAAACGG